AAAAAAUGUGAUUUGAAACCUGUUUAAUCCUCAUGAUUCUCACAGUUUUGAUAUGUUAACAAGGAUAAUGUAACUUACAUUAUGUAAAUGCUUGUUCUUGUCCUGAUUCACAUUCCCAGUUGUGAAUAGCAUUACGUCCUCGCCCCAGUACACGUGGUGAAGGAGCAGCUGGACUGGACCAACAAUAUCACAAGGAGUGUUUUCAUCUCAUCUCAUCAUCAAAUGUAAGCUUAAUUCAGAGCAGUUUUUCUUCUAUUUUUUGGACAGGUGACUUUUUCCCUCAGAGAAAGUAUAAUCAAGACAUAAUACACUGAAAAAAAAAAUGGAUUGAAGUGUACUUGAAAAAAAUUCCAGACAUAAAAUCUUAGUAAAUUUAACUAAGUUUACACUAAUAAAUAAUAAUAUAAUAAUAAUAAUAUUAGAAUAAUGAUAGUAUUUUUUAUUAUUAAUCUCAGAAAAAUGUAAGCAAACUUAACUAGCAGUUUUUACAUAUUUUAUGUAUAAUUAUAUUUAAUUUCACUCAAACUUGACUUAACCAAACUAUAAAGUCUCAACACUGUAAAACAGUAUACCUCAUCUGAACAUUAUUAAUGCUACUACUAAUGGUUCCAGCCAGGAGUAACACUAUAAUGAGUGAAUGAAUCCUUCAUACAGAUUGAACGGACAGAACCCAACAUGAUUCAGCAACUAGCUUACAUGCUAAUUCCCUACAUCUGACUGAGAAACACAGAGGGGGAGAACCAAGAAAACUUUACUGAAACACUUGAUCUUUUAAAACAUUCCCUAAUAAAAUAGCUUCAGGCAUAAAGCUGACACAAAACAAGAAAUACUGAAAUCACCCUGUCCAUAUUUACAUGAAUUCAUUUAAUACAUAACUUAAAGCAUGUAUGUAAUUAUUUUUAUGUAAACAAUCACAGAUUCUUUUUUGUCAUAUUUACUGAAUUACUAAAUAAUUAUUUUCAAUGAAUAUGAUCUACUGUAGAGAGACUAUAGAUGAGCUAAUAUGACAAUUCUUUACAAAGACCCACCUGUACCUGGGUGAUGCUAUUCUUAUUAAAAAAGGCACCUAAACUUUACCUACUUUUUGUGCCGCAGUUCGGUUUAAUUACAACCUCAAUUCAAAAUGUUGGGACACUGUGUAUAAUGUAAAUAAAAACAGAACACAAUGAUUUGUAAAUCUCAUAAACCUGUAUUUGAUUCAGAAUAGAACAUAGAAAACAUAUCAAAUGUUUAAAUUGAGGAAAUGUACUGUUUUAAUGGAAAAAAAUAAGGUAAUUUUGAAUUUUAUGGCCACAACACGUCUCAAAAAAGUUGGGACGGGGCAAUAAAAGACUGGAAAAGUAAGUGUUAGUAAAAAGUAACAGCUGGAGGUUAAUUGGGAACAGGUCAGUAAGAUGAUUGGGGAGGUGGAGAGGCGGAGUCUUUCAGAAGUAAAUAUAAGCAGAGGUUCACCAAUCUGUGAAAAACUGCAUCUAUAAUUUGGGGGGAAACUUCAGAAUAAUGUUCCUCAAUGUAACAUUUUGAAGACUAUGAAUUUACAGUACAUAAUAUCAUGAAAAGAUUCAGAGAAUCUGGAGAAAUCUGUGUGUAAGGGACGUGGGUCAAAAUCAAUACUGCAUGGCUGUGAUCUUCGGGCCUUCAGGAGCCACUGCACUAAAAACAGACAUAAUUCUAAUAACGCUAAUUCUAAUGAUAAUGAAAAUCACUGCAUGGGUUCAGAAACACCUCCAGAACUCAUUGUCUAUGAACACAGUUCACCGUGCCAUCCAAAAACGCUGGUUAAAGCUCCAUCAUGCACAGAAGAAGCCAUAUGUAAACAUUCAUCUGUUCAUGUAAGUUAGCUUAUAUUAACAUUCAGUCUCAUCAAAAAAAUACUGUACUUGUGGCAACUUCUGUAUGAUGAAUAUCAAUGUCCUCUCACAAGUGCACAAUGUAUAUUGAUGUGGUUUUGGCUAAUAUGUAACAAAUUCCCCAAAAAUACUUACUCAAGGUGAGCUUUCUCACUGCUAUAAUGAUAAUGAGUCUUUAUUGGUCACAUAUUCAUAUGCACAGUGAAAUUCUUUUCUUCGCAUAUCCCAGCAUGUCAGGCAGCUGGGGUCAGAGGUUGCAAUAUAAAACCCUGUUCAAUAUAAACCUUGUUCAAGUCUACAUCAGUUUUGUUACUUACUCAGGUCGAUCUCCGAGCCUCCAGGACAGGAGCAGCCUCACACCUCAGGAUUACGUUUCGGUCCAAAUUUAAAAUAAUAAACUCUAGUCUUAGUCUAUCAAAGAGGACUCACUAGUCAUUUCUAGAGUUUACAAAUCUCCACCUAAAUGCUUCUGGUUUAUUGCAGAAUAGUUUCAAGACGGAUAACAAUCAUCAAUACAGUAAUUAACAAUAUCUAAUGGCGUAGAUCUUCACCACGGAAAUCUCAGAAUAGAACAAACGGUUUCACACAUAAUAUAGUAUUACCAAGGUACAUCGGAUUCUUCAUGUCAGAAUCAUUGGUAUCCUUAGAAACAAGAUCAAUGUUGACAGGUUAUGAGCUGACCUUCUGAAAAGAAAAAAAUUGAGUACACCUCUGAUAAGCAUUUCUUUAAGCAUAGGUGUGUAUGUUUUUAAGUCACAUGAUGUUAGGCUACUCCACAAUAUCCUGUUUGGUCCACCUGCUGGCUUCAUGAUGCCUCAGUGACCUUUAAUCAGUCAUAUGUCAGUUAUAGCAAAUAAGAAAGCAAGGUUUUUCAGCAUCUUGUUAUUCUAACACUUUGUAUUCAUUCAGUUGACAUGUGUGCCAGAGCUUGGCUUAAAUCAUGUUCAUGUGGGUCAGGAAGUGGUUUUUCACUCAGUAAGCAGAUUUGUGUGCUGGUUGCUUCAUUAACUGCAAUAUUUUCUACAUACAUUUUAGUUCAUAAAGUUCUGUGUAUUCUUAUGACUUUUCUUAUCUGUUUCUGAACAUCUCUAUGGCACUUCCAAAGUCGAGAGGUUGAGAACUCCAUAUCAGAGGCAGGGCCAUCUACAAAAUAUCCAUGUACAGGUAGUGAUGAUGCUCCCUAAUCUGUACCAUUCAUGUGUUAAUGGUUUAUGCGUACUCAGAAACAUCAUGUUACAAAACCAAACUCUGCAAUUCGAUCUUUUAUCAUAACAUAAAAGUCAUAGUGUUAAACUGUCUGUGGGGAUUCCCUUCAAUUUACAACCUCACUAAUGUCCUUGUAGCUGAAUGAACACAAAUCCCCAAAGCCACAUCCCAAAAUCUAGUGUAAAUCCUACCCAGAAGAGUGGAGGAGGUUAUUAUAACAGCAAAGGGGAAUAAAUCUGGAAUGGGAUGUUCAGCAAGCAUAAAUGGGUGUGAUGGUCUGGGGUGCACAUACUUUUCCCCUAUAGUGUAAGCCUUUACUGCUUUCCUGUUAGUCUGGUCUUUGAGUUAAAAUCAGAGUGAAAUGAAUACUUUUGGUUUGUGUGUUAUUUGGUUUGUUUUUAUUUCUCAUCUGCUGCACUGAUGCUACACAUAUAAAACUUAUAUACCAUAAAGAGCAAUACACACAGUAUAUAAAAACACUCAAAUAUAUACAAAUCUCUCAUGCUGGAGGAAAAAGCAGAGGUUUCGUGGAUUAAAAUGGAUUCAUGUCAUACACAAUGCUCCAUGCAAUCAUACAAUAAGCACUAAUCACAAGUAGAAUUAGUACACGUGUUAAAAAAUAUUCUGGUUGGUCUUUUUAAUCUUUUGAUAAACAGGUGAAUAGUCUCAAUAACACAUUUACACCAGUCGCCCCUGUACAUAAAUAACUGUGCAUAUUGUGAAAUUUGACUCAUUUCUUUUAUUUUCAGACUGGUCAAAAGUAAAGACCCCAAGUCCUAAACAGACCUGUGGACCACAGCACACAGAAAGAUCCAUCCAUCCAUCCAUAUUUUAUACCACUUAUCCUUUUCUUCAGGGUACACCCUGGACAGGGUGCCAAUCCAUCACAGGGCACAAUCACAUACACACUCACACACCCAUUCAUACACUACAGCACACAGAAAGACAUGCCACUACAGGACACUUUAGACAUGCCAAUCAGCCUACCGUGCGCCCCAAAGAAAGACCAUAAAGGCCAUAAAUCUGCUAACAGCAUGAAGAAACCCAAUACAGAUAAAGUAAACCUUCAAAGAUAUCACCGUGAACAUUCCUGGCCAGAAAAGCCUGGUAGAUUUGUGUCUGAAGGCGUUAGGGAAACCUACACUGAUGACAUUGAGGCUUUAUCUUGGGCUUUAUUUAAUAAUCUUAAAGGUAAAGCAUCUCAGGAACUUAGGCAUCCAGUUAUUUUAAAUAAUGACACAUGCAUAAUAUAUGAUUUCGAAAUAGAAUGGGCGGGUAAUAAGUACAAUUGGUUAAAAUUUAAUUUGUUUACAUCUGAGGAUGACAUUAAUUGUGUUUUAGACAACUGCUAUGAACUUAAGUGCAGUGAAGACAUCCUGAAUGUGAUUGUACACUACGCAAGUGUUGGUGAAAAGGAUCCCAAAUAUUUAAUGUUAAAUGGCUGGAUUUAUAAACUGUAUCCAAUGAAGCUUUAUGUAUUUCUAGUAGGAAAACAACUCACUAGAAAUGAAAAUGCAGAUAAAAUAAAAAAAGUUAUUGAAGGACAGCAUAAGAAGUAUGAAUAUAAAGACAUUCGAGAAGGAAUAAGUAACUGCAAAGAAAAUAGUCAAGAUUUAUAUGUUCUGUAUGCUGAGUAUGCUCAGUACUUCAGAGAGACUUUACUGGGCAUCUAUACACACGGAACUUUUGACCCCAAUAAGGAAGCUUGGUUUACUACAUACUUUUUAGCAACAGUGAUUUCAGAGUCUGCAAGAAAUUUUAGAUCAUUUAUCAUCACACUCAUAGCUUUAGAUCUGAGUCUCAGCCAAAAUCUUGAAACCCAAAACAAGGGCCUCGAGUUUCUUUUAGAGAACCUUCCAAUGGCGAAAGGGGGAACCUGGAUAAACUCUGAUAGAAGGGGGUUUCAUGGGGCAAGCACUGUGGGAGGUGGGAAAAACACAAAACUUAAAAAGCUAAUAGAAGAAGAGGAUAAAAUGUUUGAGACAUGGCUUUCAGUCAGUAGUAAAACAAAGAUUGAUACAGAAAUGAUUAAACGUCUCCUCAAGUUGUUAUAUGGUGAACUCAGACUCAAUAAAGAUCCCUCAGUUCUAGAAACUUUUAUUACAAAUUUUAUAGAUUUUAAAAAGGAAUAAAUUAUUUAAUUCCUCCUGAAUUACUGAGAGGAUUCCUCCAUGAUUUACAACUCAAAUCUUUCUGCACAACAAUGAUGUAAGAUUCAUCAGACAACAUUCAGAAUCUAUAUCUGUACCUACAUGAUAAAAGCUGCUCACCUCUGACACCAUCAGUACAGACACUUGUCUGUUCAGCUUUUUCUACAGACAACUCUAAAAUAUCUAUAAAUCCAGAUGUUCUGUCCUCACUAAACAUGUGGAUUCUGUUUCACCAACACUUUAGUACAUACCCUGAAGAUUUAAGCUUAGGUCUUUGGAAGAAGAGGGGUAUACUUCACUGUACAGACCGGUUUAUGGCUGAAACGUUAUUCUGUUUACAUUUAAAUAAUUUCUUUUCUAAAUUUAUCCCACUGAAAUGCCACGUCUUUAUAGACACUGUAAAACAACAGUGCUUCAUUUUCCUAUUUUUUCCAUCUGAAAUUUUUUUAAACGGUUCAUUGAUGAGACCACACAACUUCAGCAGUUUUAUAUCUAAUGCAACAUUAAAAAUAACACCCAGUACAUCUCUAAAUUUAUCAGUAGCCUCCUCUCUGUAUAUCAUAGAACACUCGGAGCAGUGUGACAUAGCGUCUCUACAGACCAGGUGGAGAAAAGAGUUUCAAUUACGCUAUUCCUCAUUCUGUGUUUACUCCAGCUUUACAGAAUUUCACAGAAUACAUCUGCAGUCUGACUGUCAGCAGCUAAACUAUUCCAGUCUCUAUCUAAAUUAUCCCAGUCUGUAUGGAACUAGAAACAAUUCUAGUCUGUAUGGAAGUAGAAACAAUUCCAAUCUGUAUGGAACUAGAAACUAUUCCAGCCUGUGCAGGAAUGGAAACAAUUCUAUUCUUUGUGGAAAUGAUUCCAGCAGGUUUUAUUUCUGCUGUGUAUACCCCUCUUCUCUCCUUUAUAAAAAGUGAUUCAGGCUUUUAGAACUGUGUACCAUGACACUUUUCAAGAAAUAUACAUUUAUGUAAAAAUAGAUUUUUAAAAAAAUCAAUACAUUUAUUAUAAAUGUACUGAAAUUUUUUGACAGUGAUUUUAAAUAGUUGAUUUUAUAUACGUGGGAACAUUCUUCGCACUGUAAAGUGGUGCUAUCACAUAAAUAGGGAAAGUAUGAGUGGCUCUGAGGGGAGAGCUUUGAGAGGAACCGAUGGCAUUUAAGCCACGGGGGUCAAACUCGAAGUGAAGAUUCCCUUUUCCCCAGAUGCACUUAGUGCUCCCUACUCUCCUCAGUGGACAGGACUCAUGUCAGGUAGGAAAAGUGAAUAGUCCAUGAACAGUGUUUGGAAUAAGAGUCAGAGUUGUUUGGUUGACUAAUGUCAUAUAUAUAUAUGUAUAUAUAUACACACACACACAUAUAUGACAUUAGUCAUAUAUAUAUAUAUAUAUAUAUAUAUAUAUAUAUAUAUAUAUAUAUAUAUAUAUAUAUAUAUAUAUAUAUAUGUAUGUAUAUAUGUAUGUAUGUAUAUAAUGUGUGUGUGUAUGUGUGUGUGUGUGUGUGUGUGUGUGUGUGUGUGUUAAAACACAAAAUAUUUGGCCAAAUCUUACUAUCUAAGUGAGUGACUAUCAUAAGAUAGUGCUGCUGCUGCUGUUUCUGCUUGUGUUUUAGAGGAACCACAGAGUGAGGCGUACCUGAAGCUGUUGCAGCUGAAUCGAGAAAAGCAGAGAUACUGAUCCAGAUCCUUUCUGCCUCUGAUUGGAGCUCAAAUCUUCUCUAAUUCCAGACUGCUGGGACUACAGCUGCUCCUAACGCCAUACAGACUUCAUAUAAAUCCAUAAUGAACUUUUUCACACUAUCUGUUGUGACCCAGAUGAGGACGGGUUCCCUUCUGAGUCGGGUUCCUCUCAAGGUUUCUUCCUCUUUAAACAUCUUAGGGAGUUUUUCCUCACCACCAUCGCCACUCAGUGGCUUGCUCAGUUGGGAUAAAUUCACACCUUUAAUAUCUGUAUACUGUGUUGAUAUUUCUGUAAAACUGCUUUGAGACAAUGUCUAUUGUAAAAAGCGCUAUACAAAUAAAAUUGAAUUGAAUUGAAUUUUGCACCCUGCAGAUCUGUCCGUCAUCGUCGAGACAAGAGACUGAAUUACACACAAACACACACUAGUGACAACAUAAGUCUGUACACAUAAAUGGUUUUACAUUGCAUAAUAUUAUAUUAUAUUAUAUGUAGUUAUUGGUGUUUGGGGAUAUGUAAUAUGUAAUAUAUGUAAUAUGUCGGUGUAAGUUCUUUGGGCAUGUGGUGUUCAUGCUGUACAACGAUUAAUAAUUCACUCCAUAUUUCUUUUUAAACACUGCCUAUUUCCA
ensembl:lncRNA